AACGAACGCUGGCGGCAGGCCUAACACAUGCAAGUCGAGCGAGGACUUCGGUUCUAGCGGCGGACGGGUGAGUAACGCGGGGGAAUGUGCCCUUCUCUACGGAAUAGCCCUGGGAAACUGGGAGUAAUACCGUAUACGCCCUACUGGGGAAAGAUUUAUCGGAGAAGGAUCAGCCCGCGUUGGAUUAGGUAGUUGGUAGGGUAAUGGCCUACCAAGCCGACGAUCCAUAGCUGGUUUGAGAGGAUGAUCAGCCACACUGGGACUGAGACACGGCCCAGACUCCUACGGGAGGCAGCAGUGGGGAAUCUUAGACAAUGGGGGCGACCCUGAUCUAGCCAUGCCGCGUGAGUGAUGAAGGCCUUAGGGUUGUACAGCUCUUUCAGCUGGGAAGAUAAUGACGGUACCAGCAGAAGAAGCCCCGGCUAACUCCGUG
rnacentral:rRNA from 1 species